rnacentral:rRNA from 1 species
UGGCCAGACUCCUACGGGAGGCAGCAGUGGGGAAUAUUGCACAAUGGGGGGAACCCUGAUGCAGCGACGCCGCGUGGGUGAAGAAGUCAUUCGUGACGUAAAGCUCUAUCAGCAGGGAAGAAAAUGACGGUACCUGACUAAGAAGCCACGGCUAGCUACGUGCCAGCAGCCGCGGUAAUACGUAGGUGGCAAGCGUUAUCCGGAUUUAUUGGGUGUAAAGGGGGCGCAGACGGCGAUGCAAGCCAGGAGUGAAAGCCCGGGGCCCAACCCCGGGACUGCUCUUGGAACUGCGUGGCUGGAGUGCAGGAGGGGCAGGCGGAAUUCCUGGUGUAGCGGUGAAAUGCGUAGAUAUCAGGAGGAACACCGGUGGCGAAGGCGGCCUGCUGGGCUUUUACUGACGCUGAGGCUCGAAAGUGUGGGGAGCAAACAGGAUUAGAUACCCGAGUA